GCCAGACUCCUACGGGAGGCAGCAGUGGGGAAUAUUGCACAAUGGGGGAAACCCUGAUGCAGCGACGUCGCGUGAGUGAUGAAGUAUUUCGGUAUGUAAAGCUCUAUCAGCAGGGACGAAAAUGACGGCACCUGAGUAAGAAGCCCCGGCUAACUACGUGCCAGCAGCCGCGGUAAUACGUAGGGGGCAAGCGUUAUCCGGAUUUACUGGGUGUAAAGGGAGCGUAGACGGUUAUGCAAGUCUGGAGUGAAAGGCGGGGGCUCAACCCCCGGACUGCUCUGGAAACUGUAGAACUAGAGUGCAGGAGGGGUAAGUGGAAUUCCUAGUGUAGCGGUGAAAUGCGUAGAUAUUAGGAGGAACACCAGUGGCGAAGGCGGCUUACUGGACUGUAACUGACGUUGAGGCUCGAAAGCGUGGGGAGCAAACAGGAUUAGAUACCCUAGUAAU
rnacentral:rRNA from 1 species